UUCAGACUUCAGAAAGCUGGUAACCAGAAAGAAAGCUGACCGGAAGACAGCAGUAAAUUGUUGGACCCAAUACAUUUGAAGAGCAACUGCAGACGGAAAACAAUGAGUAAGACACAGACAGAGUGAAGCUACGAGAGUUGUAGACACUUACAAAAUUAAGUAUGAGUUAAUGAACAUAGCUGUCAGCACCAAAGUGCUGGAAGAAAUGUGUAUUAAGGUUGCCUCUCCCAAGGCUAAUCCACCUCAGAUAGUCAAUGAACAAGAAUAUUGUGGUGUGUGAGUUCUCAUGACAGUCUUGGUGAUUUCUCCCUACCAGAAUGCAGCUUCAUUUUCCUUUCAGUUUCAGAUAGAGACCAUUAUAGAAAGCCAUAGAUACUAGUCAAAGUACAGACAACAGCUGACCAUGCAGUGCCCAGCUCAAUACAAGUCAUAUGCUCAAGGGUCUGGAAAAAUUGUGGAAGAAGGAAUGGAAAGAUUGUGAACACCAAAGAAUCAGACUUUCUGCUGUGAAAGAUCUAAAAAUUA
rnacentral:lncRNA from 1 species